rnacentral:lncRNA from 1 species
UCUCCCUCCCUCUGUAAAAAUUAAACAUGUUGCUUCCUUACUCCCUCAACCUUCGCCCAUUUAUACAACAUCUGAUACUCCUCCCUCAACCUCUAGACCAUCUAACCAACCAUCCCAAAAAUUCAGUCUUGCCACCACAACUCUACCUAUUUCAGAAGCAGAAAUGCUAAACGAAACCACUUCACCCUCUUCAUCACCAUCUCCACAAUCCCCACCUUACUAUAACCUCUCAUUUGACACUAAACCCUCUGAUCCUCA